ensembl:snRNA U2 U2 spliceosomal RNA
ACCACUUCUCAGUAUUUUGGCUAAGAUCAAAUAUAGUAUCUGUUCUUAAAUUAACUUAAUAUUUGAUAUGUCCUCUAUCUGAGGGCAAUAUAGUAAAUGGAGUUUUGGAGCAGGGAAAUGGAAUGGGAGCUUGCUCUGUCUACUCCACGCAUUGACCUGGAAAGGUACAUUCCCGGGGGGUGGGGUGGGGGGA